UGAGUCAUCAGAAAAAGAAAACUCAAGUUUUUUGGUAUAUAUUCAAUCAGCUAAGGAAUCAUGAAAUCUUAUUCAUAAAGAAACCCUUAAGUUUUUGGGGCUUUUAUUCAACAGCAGGAAUUCUCAAAAGUAGAGGGCGGGAAUUAGCAAAAUAUUAGGGCUCACGAAUCACGAACUCGCGGAAGAAUCGGGAUUUCAUUCCAUUAAACCCCCAAUUGAAAUUUCAUAAUGAAUAUCGACGAUUUUGUUGCGGGCGAGUUCUUAACUGCUGCGAUUGUGAAGCAUCACCCACAAAUCACCUUCUAUAUUAUACCACUGUAUUACUCAGAUUCGCCAAACCAGUACAAUGUGGAUGUUUGUGUUAGUCAUGAUGGUCCUUACAAGAACAAGGUCUGAAGAUGAUUCUCGAGUACUUACAACUCAAUCAACUGCCGAGGGAAGUGCAUCUACUAGAAUAUCGCGCUCGAAUCGUAGACGCAAGCUUAAUUCGACCAACACCACUACUGAACAACCAGCUGAUACAGAACAACAAUCUGUUGAUCCACCAAAGAGGCACGGUCCGAAUUUAAAUCUUAGCGUCAAUAGGCCUCUAAAGGAUUUGCCUGAGGGUUCUAAAAUCCCUUUGAGAAUGGAUGAGCAUACAAUAUCCUUUGUUGGGACCUCAGCAACAGACUUUGCGACCGAGUGUGGAAUCAUUAUGCGCAAUUUUUGUCCGAUGAACUAUCACACAUGGGAAUCAGUACCGGAAGAUGCGAAAACCUUGAUGUAUGAGAAAUUAGAAUGAAAAUUCGAGUUAUUGCAAACAAAUACCAUUUUUAUGGAGUAUGUGAAUGCUCGACUACAUGCCUGAUUCAAGAAUGGAAUCAUUUGUGCGACUAUUGGGAGUUAGAAAAAACUAAGAAAUAUAGUGAUAAGAUGGAAGCUAAUAGAGCAAAACAAGUUAAUAUAAGCAGAGGGGGCUCUCGGUCGAUAGUCAGUCAUACAUUUCAAAUGAUAAGAUUUAGACUUUCGACUCAUAGUGCAAUAUAUUAUUGAUGUUAAUGUAGUAGUAGAAUUUCAUGAGUUUUUCUUAGGCUUAUAUAUGUUAUAAAAAGAUUGAUUUUACUCUUUUCAGAAUAAAUCUAAUCUUCAUUAUUAUAAUUUUUAUAAUGUUAGAUAAAUCCCGAGACUUAGAUGCCGCCUAGCCCAUUAGAACUUUAUCACAAGCUGCAUUUUAAUGCCACGAAACAAGGAUGGCUAAAUGAAAAUUCACGUAUUAAAUAUGAAAACAUCAUUAAACAUAAGCAGGCAGCCUUGGAUGAAUUAAAUUCUAAAGGAAUAACAAUUACCACUACUAUGGAGCAUCAACUUGAGAAAGAAGCCGUAAAAAGUGUUUGUGGUAGGAAGAAAACAAUACAAUCAGCAUGGGAGGUUGGUGUUGGGCCUGUGUUGAGGAAAAAAAGAUAGUUGGAUGAAAUCGGUAGCUGAAUCAUCUCAACGAGACUCAAGUGAGAACGAAAGUCUAAGAAAUAAGGUUAUUGCACUCGAGGCGAAACAGAAACCAGAUAAGGAGAAAUAUGAAAGAAUGUUUGAGUUCAUUGGCACAAAGUUUCCAGACUUUGAAAGCACAAUACCCAUAGAUGCGAGUGAUGAAGCUGUUAGUGAUAAUACAAUUUAGGUAGUUAGUUAUGAUGUUUAUUAUCUUUUUUUAUCUAGUACUCUUUCAAACUUUAGAACCGAUUAUUUGGUGUUAUUUUGCUUGGUUAUUGUUAUGACAUUAGUGCUUGAAUGUA